AUGCCAGCUUUAUCUUUAGUGAUAUUUGUGUUUGGUGAAGUGGUGGGAGUGGAGGAGUCUCAAGAUGCCACCAAAAUGCAGUCUUCUCCUUGUCACUACCAAAUACAAAGUACACCUCCUGAUGAAGGAGAUUCCUUGUCCAUUACCUAUGACCUCGCAAAGUAUCUAGCUUCUACACAGCUUCUGUCAGCAGGGCUUACUUAUUUUGAUGAUAAGCCCAUUAAUUACUGGGCAUGGAAAUCAUCUUUCCAGGGUGCAAUUUCUGGUCUGGGUCUUUCACAUGCAGAAGAACUAGAUCUCUUAAUUAAAUACCUGGGUAAAGAAUCUUCUGAACAUGCAUGGAGACCUAAAGCAGUUCAUAACAGAAACCCAGCAGCUGCACUGAUAAUUACAUGGCAGAGACUUAAGGGAAAUAUAUAUGGUUCUCCAGAAGCAAUUGAACAUGCUCUUUAUACUAAACUGGUAAACUUCCCAAGAGUAACAAGCAAAGACCCACAAAAGCUUCGAGAUUUAGGAGACAUCCUCUCUGAACUAAAAGCUGCAAAGCUUGAGGGAUACUUACCAGGUCUGGCAUACUUGGACACUUCUAAGGGAGUGAACCCUAUUGUUGAGAAACUUCCAUAUAACAUUCAAGAAAAAUGGAUGUCGUUUGGAUCUAAAUAUAAACAAGAGUAUCGUGUUGCUUUCCCACCUUUCCCAGUGUUUGCGAAUUUUGGCUGCUCAGAAGCAAAAGCAUGUACAGAUCCAAGUUUCAGUAAGUUUCCUCAUGCGAAAUAUGAGAAAGGAGAAAGAUUUGAGAGACAAAGACAAAUUCCAAUAUCUGUUCACAAGACUCAAGUUAGUCCCUCAACUAAAGUACAACCUGAACAGAAAAAGAGAUCAGUUAGCCCGAAUCAGAUUUGCCCAAUGCAUGGAAAACCUCAUCCUUUAAGAAGAUUCAGAGGGUUUAGAGAGAAACCUCUACAAGAGAGAAUGCAGUUCCUGAAAGAGCAGUCUGUGUUACCGUUACUGUUCUUCUACAGGCCAUCUCGCCAAAAACUGCACCGUGGAAAUUCAAUGCAAAGAAUGCGGUAG
ensembl:lncRNA